CGCGCGCUUGCGCGCCGCCCGCUGCCCGCCGCCCGCCGCGGCUGGGAGUCCGGAGGUUUCAUCUUGUGAUGGUUUCGGUUCGGCUCUCAAAUGGAGGGGAUGGCUACGUUGAAGACAGCUGGGGCUGCCGCACGCCUCGGGGUUACUGUCGGGCACCCGGCGGGCGGGGCCGGCGCUGGGGCGGGGGAGGGCUUCCUCGCCCUCAGAAACCACAUUCGCAGAAACGUUUUUAACUGGCAAGGUUUCGAGUUCCCAACCACAGCACCCUCAGUGAUGGUUUUCAGAAGACCUUGUUAGCUCCUCUCCUCCAGAGACCCAUCCUUCGCUGACAUCCCACCGAUUUGGGAGCAGGAAAAAACAGACUCCUGCAAAAUACCUCUUCUUCCAGUGCCCUGUACCCCUCUCUACUUACUUCGAGUCCCUGCAGUCCAGCAACAACCCCAAACGAGUGAAGGGAGGAGACAUAGGUUUGUCCAGGCUCUGCCACCGACGGGUGAUUUGGGAUGAGUCCUUCUCCAGUAUCAUUAUCUUCAACUGUAAAACAUGAGGGUUAGUCCGAAUGAUCUCCAAACGCUUCAGCAUUAAAGUUAGGUGAUGAAUCCUAAGGAGAGGGCCCGCAGGGAAUCUUGUUAAGGAUAACUGCCAUCGAAGUUACAAGUUUGUUCUGUGAUUGAAGAGUUUCAGGUCUUCUAGAUUUCUUUGGCAUGACGCAUAACUAUUUCAAGAUACUAACAUUUGGGCAGGGCGUGGUGGCUCAGGCCUGUAGUCCUAACACUUUGGGGGGCCGAGGCGGGCAGAUCACCUGAGGGUAGGAGUUAGAGACCAGUCUGGCCAACAUGGUGAAACCCCGUCUCUACUAAAAAUACAAAAAUUAGCCGGGCGUGGCGGUACAUGCCUGUAAUCCCAGCUACUCAGGAGGCUAAGGCAGAAGAAUCGCUUGAAUCCAGGAGGCGGAGGUUGCAGUGAGCUGAGAUCACGCCACUGCACCCCAGCCUGGGCAACAGAGGGAGACUCCUUCUGAAAAAAAAAAAAAAAAAAAGAUACUAACAUUUAAGGUUAAGAAUGUAGGUCAUUUCCCCAGAGGACUAACAGACUCGAGGGCACACACCCCAAAUUUUAUUUCUUUGACUCUGUCAUUGCCCCCAGAACAGUAUAUAAUGUAG
rnacentral:lncRNA from 1 species